rnacentral:rRNA from 1 species
UACGUAGGGUGCGAGCGUUAUUCAGAAUUACUGGGCGUAAAGCGUGCGCAGGCGGUUCGUUGUGUCGGUGGUGAAAUCCCCGGGCUUAACCUGGGAAUGGCCAUGGAAACUGGCGAACUGGAGUGCGGCAGAGGGGGGUGGAAUUCCGCGUGUAGCAGUGAAAUGCGUAGAGAUGCGGAGGAACACCGAUGGCGAAGGCAGCCCCCUGGGCUAGCACUGACGCUCAGGCACGAAAGCGUGGGUAGCAAACAGG